rnacentral:misc_RNA from 1 species
GUUGUUUUUAAAUUAUUCCUUUAUUUAUUUUAUCAUUAAAAGAAGUUUCCUAACCGAAUGCCAAAAGUUACUUCACUCCCUGUGUGUAUGUUUCACUUCACAUCCUGACUUGACUCCGAAACCUUCAUUUUUGCAGCUGAACAAACCCUAGAGAGCCGCACUGAUUCAAUUCGCUCUACUCUGUUCAACUCGGGAAUUGUUUCGUCAGGAAUUGAUGCAAAGAUGAGUUCCUUUUCUAUUCCACGCAAAAAGACACCUUUCCAGAAGCAUAGAGAAGAGGAAGAAGCAAAGAAAAAGAGAGAGGAUGAUGAAACAGCUCGAUUGUAUGCUGAGUUUGUGGAGUCAUUUCAAGGGGAUGCACCUGGGUCCAAGACUUUUGUUCGAGGCGGAACCAUCAAUCCAAAUGAGAGAGUAAAGACUGAUUCUGAAGGUGAAAAGUCCAAAGAUGGGGUAUCUGGUCCAAAAAAGGGAAGUAGGUAUGUUCCAUCUUUUCUGCCACCUCCCAUGGCAGUCAAGGGAAAAGAAUCUGAGAAGAAGAAGGAGGAGGAAAGACCAAAGGAGAAGGAAAAAGGGAAGACUCGGAAUAUAGAUCAUUUCAUGGAGGAACUGAAGCAUGAACAUGAGAUGAGGGAGAGGCGAAAUCAGGAACGUGAGCGCUGGCGUGAUGGGCGUGCUACUGAGAUUGCUGCUCCAUCUAGUAGAUUUGAUGAAUUGCCUGAUGACUUUGAUCCAACUGGAAAGGGAUCAUUUGAUGAUGGUGAUCCACAAACUACUAAUCUUUAUGUUGGGAAUCUCUCUCCUCAGGUUGACGAGAAUUUUCUUCUGCGAACUUUUGGAAGAUUUGGGCCUAUUGCUAGUGUCAAGAUAAUGUGGCCUAGAACAGAAGAAGAGCGAAGGCGGCAGAGAAAUUGUGGAUUUGUAGCAUUUAUGAAUAGAGCUGAUGGGCAGGCUGCAAAAGAUGAAAUGCAAGGAGUUGUUGUGUAUGAAUAUGAGUUGAAGAUAGGCUGGGGUAAAUCUGUAGCUCUUCCAUCACAAGCACUACCUGCUCCACCACCAGGACAUAUGGCCAUCAGGAGUAAAGAGGGUGCCACUGUAAUUCUCUCUGGUCCAUCGGGCCCGCCAGUAACUUCGGUCCCAAACCAUAACUCUGAACUGGUUCUUACUCCAAAUGUUCCUGAUAUAAUGGUUGUUCCACCUGAUGAUGAUCAUCUCCGCCAUGUAAUUGAUACAAUGGCUCUGUAUGUUUUGGAUGGAGGAUGUGCUUUUGAACAAGCUAUCAUGGAAAGGGGCCGUGGGAAUCCUCUUUUCAACUUUUUGUUUGAGCUUGGCUCGAAGGAACAUACAUAUUAUGUUUGGAGGCUGUAUUCUUUUGCUCAGGGUGAUACUCUUCAAAGGUGGCGAACAGAACCUUUUAUCAUGAUAACUGGUAGUGGAAGAUGGAUGCCACCGCCUCUGCCCACAGCAAAGAGCCCAGAGCAUGAAAAGGAGUCUGGUAACACAUAUGCUGCUGGAAAAAGCAGGGUAUAUUUAUCAUUGUGAUUUCUGGCAGUGACAUUACUUCCCAUUAUUGAAAAAAUUGUUGUCAUUAAGCCAUUGUAAACUAUAAACCGAAUAACGAUGGAUUAUAUAAUUUCAUUAAUUAAAAUCUAAAGAAAAUGUAACGAUGGCCUAUCUGGCGUUGUAAUUGUUUUGUGAAUUCUUUAAUGUUCAGAAUUAAAAUUUUAAACAAUGUCAAAAGAUAGUGACAGUUAAAUCCAUUGUUAUGUAAGUUAAUAUUCAAUUUGUAGUACUAUCUUUAAUCUGUCAUUAAAUAGGGACAGAUUAAUGAUGGAUUGUAUUUGUCCUUCCAAACCAACAAAAUAAAAGGUAACAACAGAUAAAUUUCUGUUGUUAACUUUAAUAUGGUAAUAUCCUGUGUUAUUUGGAAUCAAUUUGUAAACCUGAUAAAAAUAUAGCAACCCAGUUUUUUUUCCUUGCUGUUUUGAACUUUUGCAGCGUGUUGACCCAGAACGAACCCUGACUGAUCCCCAGAGGGAUGAGUUUGAGGAUAUGUUACGUGCGUUAACGUUAGAAAGAAGUCAGAUAAAGGAUGCUAUGGGUUUUGCUUUGGAUAAUGCUGAUGCUGCGGGAGAGAUAGUUGAAGUUCUAACAGAUUCUCUGACACUGAAAGAAACUCCUAUUCCAACUAAAGUUGCAAGGCUCAUGCUUGUCUCUGACAUUCUACAUAAUAGCAGUGCACCCGUAAAAAAUGCUUCCGCAUACCGCACCAAAUUUGAAGCCACACUACCUGACAUAAUGGAGAGCUUUAAUGACUUGUAUCGUAGUAUAACUGGGAGGAUCACUGCUGAGGCCCUCAAGGAGCGGGUUCUGAAAGUAUUGCAAGUAUGGUCAGACUGGUUUCUAUUUUCAGAUGCAUAUGUGAAUGGAUUGCGGGCUACCUUUCUACGUUCUAGUACUUCGGGUGUUAUCUCUUUUCAUUCUAUAUGUGGUGAUGCACCAGAAAUAGAAAAAAAGUUUAACUCAGAAGAUAUAGGUGAUGGAGGAAAGAUCAACCAAGAUGCUGCAUUGGCAAUGGGCAAAGGAGCUGCUGUGAAGGAACUAAUGAGUCUUCCUCUUGCUGAGCUUGAAAGACGUUGUAGACAUAAUGGAUUGUCUCUUGUUGGUGGUAGAGAAAUGAUGGUUGCCCGAUUGCUCAGUCUUGAAGAGGCAGAAAAGCAGAGGGGCUAUGAGUUAGAUGAUGACUUGAAAUUUUCUCAGAGCCAUUCUAGUUCUAGUAAAUUUUCAAGCGGGCGCAGAGAAACAAAUGUUGAAUCAGAGCCAGUGGGAUUGUCAGGGUGGAAUCUUUAUGAGGAGGAUGGGACACCUUCUCAAAGCAGAGGGUCUGCAUCUUUAGUAGCAACCCUUCCAAUUCCACAACCUGAAUUAAAAGCCUUCACAAAGAAAGAGAAAAACGAACCUGUUCUGCCGGCCUCUAAAUGGGCUCGAGAUGAUGAUGACAGUGAUGAUGAGCAAAAAAGAAGCACUAGAGGUUUGGGGUUGAGCUACUCGUCCUCUGGAAGUGAAAAUGCUGGUGAUGAUCCAGGUAAGGCUGAUGAUGAAACGGAGUUUGCUACUGAUGCAAGUGUUCCCAUGCAACCUGACAGCGGGAUGAAUGAAGAGCAGAGACAGAAGUUGAGACGUUUGGAGGUUGCUUUGAUAGAAUACCGUGAAUCCCUUGAGGAGCGAGGGAUGAAAAGUGUAGAGGAAAUUGAGAGGAAAGUUGCAAUCCAUCGGAAAUGGCUACAGUCAGAAUAUGGUUUAUUGGUUUCUUCUCAAGAUGUCCCUGGGAACAGUAAGAGAACAUCUUCAGAAAGGAGGGAUAGAAGGGAUGAUAGCCGUGAAUCAUCACGAAAGCGACACCGCAGCCAGAGCAGAAGCCAGAGCCCACAAAGGAAAACAUCAACCAGGGACAAGGAGAGGGAAAUUGAUUUAGAAAGGGAGCGGGAAAGGCACUGGGAUAGAGAUAGAGCUCAUGAUUUGGAAAGUGAAAGGUGGGAGAGGGAUCGCCGCGAGAAGAGUGGGAGUAGAGAGCGGGAUGAUCAUGAUAGGGAGAGAGGUAGAGGUAGAGAUAGAGAUAGAAGGAGACGAGUAAAGUGAGUUAAUUGGUUUAUGGCACUCGAGGAAUGAUGUAGAAUUUCUUUGCCUGACAGAUUUGACUCUUUCUAAAUGUCAAUGGAUGUGAUACUUAGGAGUGAAAUUGGUCUGAGUGUUGAAGUGGGAACGUUUAGAUGAAGAGAUUAAUUGGCUUAUCAAUGCCUCCAUGGAAUGUCUGCCUUCCCGGUGAGAACCUGAGGGUGGAAAAUGCUUCUUGUUAAACAAUGUUGUAGUUAGAUGUAUUUUCAUUUUGCCAUUAAAAAUUUAAUGUCAUGGUUGUGUUUAAAUGCUCAAUGAUUCAGUGUAUUGCUGCAGUAAAUUGCAUAUAGAUUUAGCCAUCACAUUAGUCCUUGCGUUCACAUUUUCAAUUUUAAAAUAUUUAGAUUAUAGUGAUUAUUGCUG